rnacentral:tRNA from 2 species
GACCCCGUAGCUCAGCCGGAUAGAGCACCAGAUUCCUAAUCUGGGGGCCGCGUGUUCGAAUCACGCCGGGGUCACCA